GAUGAACGCUGGCGGCGUGCCUAAUACAUGCAAGUCGAGCGAACGGACGAGAAGCUUGCUUCUCUGAUGUUAGCGGCGGACGGGUGAGUAACACGUGGAUAACCUACCUAUAAGACUGGGAUAACUUUGGGAAACCGGAGCUAAUACCGGAUAAUAUUUUGAACCGCAUGGUUCAAAAGUGAAAGACGGCCUUGCUGUCACUUAUAGAUGGAUCCGCGCUGCAUUAGCUAGUUGGUAAGGUAACGGCUUACCAAGGCAACGAUGCAUAGCCGACCUGAGAGGGUGAUCGGCCACACUGGAACUGAGACACGGUCCAGACUCCUACGGGAGGCAGCAGUAGGGAAUCUUCCGCAAUGGGCGAAAGCCUGACGGAGCAACGCCGCGUGAGUGAUGAAGGUCUUCGGAUCGUAAAACUCUGUUAUUAGGGAAGAACAUAUGUGUAAGUAACUGUGCACAUCUUGACGGUACCUAAUCAGAAAGCCACGGCUAACUACGUG
rnacentral:rRNA from 1 species